rnacentral:misc_RNA from 1 species
AACGCACAUUGCGCCCUUUGGCAUUCCGAGGGGCAUGCCCGUUCGAGCGUCAUUAAAUCCACUCAAGCCUGGCUUGGUAUUGGGCGACGGGGACUCCCCCGCGCCUCCAUUUCGCCGGCUGGCCGUCGUUUGACUUAGCGUUGUGACACAUGUCGCUGACGAUGAAGACGGACCGCGCCGUGAGAACCCCCUUGGGCGUUCGCGCCCAGUAAAGAUUGACCUCGGAUCGGGUAGGAAUACCCGCUGAACUUAA